CUAAACGCACUGGGGACGUGUUCCAGAAGCGGCGGCAUCUCCUGUCGGGGGCCGGCCACUCCCGGCUCCUGUUACCACCUCUGGGAGGUGACCCCAUCUUUAGGGCACUGUCCCCUGGGGUUUGAUAGGGCCCUGGGAGACCUGGUCGGGGUGAGCCGAGAGGCCUCCUCCAAGCAAGGCUGUUAGCGCCCAGAGCCCUGGGGUACUGCAAUGGGUAUUUUCUUCAAGUAAGGGCAUUCUUCUAAUAAUCACAGUAAAACCAUCCAAACCAGAAAGUUAACCUUGAAUAUUCCUCAAGUUUGGUCUGACAUUGCCUUCCUUAUGACUAGAUACACAACUGCAUCUUUGGCAGGAAUACCCUAUAAGUGAUGCUGUAUUCUUCUCAAUGCAUCCUGUCAAAUGGCAAAGUAUUUCCAUCCGUGCCAUUAUUGAUAGUGUUUAUUAAUUUAAGAUGGUGUCUUCCAAUCUUGUCUACUAUAAGGGCCAAGGCAAAGGCAGAAUUAGAAGAGCCUAAUCCCACCUUCUACUCACUUCUGUAGGAUUCAAUAUUGGUUUACUGCAUUCUGUUUGCUACUUCCUUGCCACUCCUAGACCACAGGAGACAUAUAACUACACUGGAACUUUGAGGCUAUGCCAAGCCCACCUGCCAACAUUGCCAUCUUUUCCAUAUAGCAGCUGCCAGGAACUCCACAGAGAAGAUGAGCAAUUUGUCCCUCUAUCUCUGAGCCAGGCUCACCACUCCACUUUGUUCCUCCGAGUGAACGUGUCAGGUGCUACCUUGUUAUUUCACCUUGUCACCUGCUCCACUUGGUUUUGAUGAGUGGUGCAACCUUGAGGAAUGAUAUUCAGAGUGUGGGGGUUUGAUGAUCAGGAAAAACAAACAAACAAAAAAACAUAAAAACACUGAGAUUUCUUCACUUCUUUUGAUUGCUGCAGCAACUUGGACUUAAAGAAAUAAAAUAGCCUAUGACAUAAAUCCAGGCAGAAACCACUUGCGUCGGGGACAGCAGAAGGGGAGCUGGAGCCCACCUCCCUCCUGUGAAGAGCAGCAGACAUGGCUGCAUGGGGAAUAGCAACCUUACUUCUUGCUCCCACCAGCCUAGGAGCAUUUCUCCUGGAACUUUUUCUAAUACUUUGUGGCUUUAUGAAAACUGAACCAUAAUUAACGGGGUUUGUUUCCCAAGCUCAAGAGAUGUUUCACACCAAGUCUGUUACCUAAUCAUUGUCCUCUAGCAGACUCCUAUGUUGCAGAUGCCAGCACGCAUCCACCUUCAUCUUCCCUGUACACAGGCUGCCAUUCAUCAGAAAGAGAGGAUAAAGGCUAAAGGGAUUAUUUCAACAGGAAGGAGCAAUUGACCUUGAGGAGCAGUUUGUGUUGGGGACUCUGGAGAGUCAAGGUUAGUUGAAGGGCAGCAGAAAGUAAGAGAUGAAAAGGAGAGUUGAGGAAAUAAGAAAAAGCAGGUACAUUUUUGUGAGCCACUUUCAAAAAGUCGAGGGAGUAUUCAUGAAUGGCCCCAAGAAAAGAAAACCUAGGCAAUGAUGUCCUGUCUCUUGUGUCAUGAGAGGGAACAAGACAUCUGGAUUAGAUCUGCCACUUCAUUUUCGUUCACUCCAUCCCAAAACACAAUUUUAUGUAUUAAAUCUCUUCUGUUUGAAAUACCAACUGUGGUUUCUGUUUUUCUGACUAGUACAUAGGCUCAUUGUGGAGACAGAUGUUAAACAAACAGACACAAAAAUAAAUAUAAUCAUACAGUUCUAAGAUGAAAAAGGAAAAAAAAAUACCUAUAUAAUCUCAUAAGAAGUCUUGGAUCUAUUUUAGGUUGUGGGCGGGCCCAGAUAUGUUGUGAUGAGCAAUCUCUUUUAUCUGUUCUCUUGUCCUUAGUUUUUAUUCACUUGGUAAGCUUCAAUUUCCAUUCCUCAGACA